rnacentral:misc_RNA from 1 species
UAUUUUUUUACCCAAAGUCUUUGUAUACUUCAAAAAAAGAAAAAAAAAAUUGCCUAACUCUGCAUAGUCUCAACCUUAACGUCCCAAACAAUAUACCUUUUUCUGUCUCUCAGUGAUGGUGGUAGCAUAACUGUUCGGUGAGACUCUGCAACUCUUGAUGGCUUGCUGCUUUGGGUAUUGUUCUGGAAAGAGCGCUGACACCAGA